rnacentral:rRNA from 1 species
UACGUAGGGUGCGAGCGUUGUCCGGAAUUACUGGGCGUAAAGAGCUCGUAGGUGGUUUGUCGCGUUGUUCGUGAAAACUCACAGCUCAACUGUGGGCGUGCGGGCGAUACGGGCAGACUGGAGUACUGCAGGGGAGACUGGAAUUCCUGGUGUAGCGGUGGAAUGCGCAGAUAUCAGGAGGAACACCGAUGGCGAAGGCAGGUCUCUGGGCCACUACUGACGCUGAGACGCGAAAGCGUGGGGAGCGAACAGG